rnacentral:rRNA from 1 species
CAGUAGCCGCGGGAAUACGUAGGGUGCGAGCGUUAAUCGGAAUUACUGGGCGUAAAGCGUGCGCAGGCGGUUUUGUAAGACAGAGGUGAAAUCCCCGGGCUCAACCUGGGAACUGCCUUUGUGACUGCAAGGCUAGAGUACGGCAGAGGGGGAUGGAAUUCCGCGUGUAGCAGUGAAAUGCGUAGAUAUGCGGAGGAACACCGAUGGCGAAGGCAAUCCCCUGGGCCUGUACUGACGCUCAUGCACGAAAGCGUGGGGAGCAAACAGGAUUAGAUACCCGAGUAGUCCCUGUCUCUUAUAC